UUGCUCAGGCUGGUGUCAAACUCCUGGGCUCAAGUGAUUCUCCCUUCUUGGCCUCUCAAAGUGCUGAGAUUACAGGUAUGAGCCACCAUGCCCAGCUGCAAGUAAAUUUUUGUCCCGAAUAAAAGACUUUCAUAUUUGUUCCUUUAAAAAUGUAUACUACUGACUUUGGCCUAGAAUGCCCUAUGUCUAAACCUUUCUAGAUUCUGAUGUGUCCCCACUCCCUCCUCAUGUCUGGCAUCUUGUCAUACCUCCUGGAACGUGCAAAUCUGGCACUGUGCUUUCUGGAUGUCCAUGCCAGUCUUGGGCAAAGACAGUACACAGGACAGGGAGGAAUACAGGAGGUCCUGCAGCUCACUAGGCCUCCUCGACAGCUGACACCAAUCUACUAAUACUCCAUAUUAGCAUCCUUUCGCUUUUCAUGUGCAAACGUGGCUCCCUUUUCAUUCAUCUUAGUUGAGCUUGUAGCUGCCAUAAAUAUAACUCUCCUUUUUUGUAAAUGGGAACCACAGUGGACCCUCGGAAUUCACCAAUUCAGGUGGGAUUAGGAACAUCUCCCGAAGCCAUCAUUUGUUAAAACCUGCCUCCUGCUCCUUGGUACCUCUCAAAGCCAACCUCAUUUGUUAAAAAGAAACUCAACAGCCAUUCUGCAAGCUUGGAAAUAGAAACCAAGGGAAAUUAACACAAAGGAUAUUUUACUCUUGUUUAGCCACGGCUCUAGGCAUUGUUCUGUCUUCUCCAACCCUGUACCCCCAGUGACCAGCCUGGCACACAGGGAAUACUCAAUGUUUGUGGAAGGAGUGUGUAUAUUCAACUGUCCAUUGGAGUGAUAUAUGGAGAGAACGAAAAAACGAUGAAAAACUCCCCGAAGCAUGUUAUCUCUAUAGCAUGCCCUCUGAGACCACACCUCCUAUUGCUCAACAGGCUUCUUCAUCUGCUGGAAGGACAUAUACAUGAGUUCUGACACUGCAAUUUUAGAUCAGAAGUCCUCUUUUAUGUUUUUAUCCAAAAGAAAAACGCCAUGUUAUCAAUUAUAAAAAUAGGCAAACAUUGAAUUCAACUAAUAGACACAUUAUAAAACAGAAAGCAGAAGCCUUCUACAGACUUCCCCUCUGAAGAAGGGCAUUCUUCACAGGUUGGUGUCUUUUUCCAGGCUUUUAUACUAAACACAUACAUUUAUUUUUCAAGUGUUUCAUAUCUUGAUUUUCUCCUUAAUAUACAGUGGAGGUGUUUUCCUAUCACAAUAUUGAAUUGACUUUAUAAUAAUUUGUUUAAACAAUCCCAUAAUGACGAACACUUGGCUGUCUUUAGUCCUCUGCUGUCAACGCUAUAGUAUACAUCCUAGAAUAUCCAUCUUUGCAAAUUUCUCUAAUUUCCUUGUAAUAACAUUUUUAAUGUAAAACUGGUGGGUCAGAGGUUAUUCAUAUUUAAAAUGGUUUAAUAUUGCCAAAAUAGCCUCCAGGAAAAGUACCAACUGACCAUUCUAUCCACAUUCCUGCCAAACAAGGAUAUUAUCAAACUUUUAAGUCUUUGCUAAGAAAGUGGGCAAAAAUGCUACUGUGGCUCUAAUUUGCUUUUAUUUGAUUAUUGGUAAAGCUGAACAUUUUUCCAUGUAUUCUUUGGCUAUUUUCAUUCUUUUGUGAAAUAUCUAUUCCUAUUCUUUGCCCAUUUUCCACUGGUUCAUAUUUUUAUUUUUGAUUUAAUAAGAGCUCUUUGUAUUCUGACAGUGUUUACUCUCGUUGUAUAUGUGAUAAUUUCCACACAGGUCUUAAGUUUUAAAGACACAGGUCAAGUUAUUUAGAUCAAGAAGCCGCAAGUAACAAAGGCAUGCGCACCCCCGCUCCCCCUGGUGGCAGCACUUGCUAAUUGCAGGUAAAGAAUCUCUACUGCAAUAAAUAGCUUAGAGCACAAAGUUCCCAAAUUAGGCUGCAAAAUAAAAAUCAUCCAGGGAAUUUAGAAAAUCUUAAAAUACAAACCAAUUAAAUCAGAAUGCCUAAGAUGAGACCCAGGCAUUAACUGAAAAACACUGUUCUUGAGAAUUGACUUUUAUAACUAUCACCUACAAAUUGAUGUAAAAAUCAAUUUU